rnacentral:rRNA from 1 species
CGGGGGCGGCUUACCAUGCAAGUCGAGGGGUAUGCUUCUUCGGAACUAGAGACCGGCGCACGGGUGCGUAACGCGUAUGCAAUCUACCUUUUACAGAGGGAUAGCCCAGAGAAAUUUGGAUUAAUACCUCAUAGCAUAGCAACUUCGCAUGAAGUCACUAUUAAAGUCACAACGGUAAAAGAUGAGCAUGCGUCCCAUUAGCUAGUUGGUAAGGUAACGGCUUACCAAGGCUACGAUGGGUAGGGGUCCUGAGAGGGAGAUCCCCCACACUGGUACUGAGACACGGACCAGACUCCUACGGGAGGCAGCAGUGAGGAAUAUUGGACAAUGGGCGCAAGCCUGAUCCAGCCAUGCCGCGUGCAGGAUGACGGUCCUAUGGAUUGUAAACUGCUUUUGUACAGGAAGAAACACUGGUUCGUGAACCAGCUUGACGGUACUGUAAGAAUAAGGAUCGGCUAACUCCGUGCCAGCAGCCGCGGUAAUACGGAGGAUCCAAGCGUUAUCCGGAAUCAUUGGGUUUAAAGGGUCCGUAGGCGGUUUAAUAAGUCAGUGGUGAAAGCCCAUCGCUCAACGGUGGAACGGCCAUUGAUACUGUUAAACUUGAAUUAUUAGGAAGUAACUAGAAUAUGUAGUGUAGCGGUGAAAUGCUUAGAGAUUACAUGGAAUACCAAUUGCGAAGGCAGGUUACUACUAAUUGAUUGACGCUGAUGGACGAAAGCGUGGGUAGCGAACAGGAUUAGAUACCCUGGUAGUCCACGCCGUAAACGAUGGAUACUAGCUGUUGGGAGCAAUCUCAGUGGCUAAGCGAAAGUGAUAAGUAUCCCACCUGGGGAGUACGUUCGCAAGAAUGAAACUCAAGGAAUUGACGGGGCCCGCACAAGCGGUGGAGCAUGUGGUUUAAUUCGAUGAUACGCGAGGACCUUACCAAGGCUUAAAUGUAGA